rnacentral:miRNA from 1 species
UGGCGGCAGCGAUGACCCGUUGCUUGCCAGUGAAGAACACGAAGGCCGUGGUGAACACCAGCGGGAUCAUCGAGCCGCCC